AUUGAACGCUGGCGGCAGGCCUAACACAUGCAAGUCGAGCGAGCGGCGGACGGGUGAGUAAUGUAUGGGGACUGCCCGAUAGAGGGGGAUAACUACUGGAAACGGUAGCUAAUACCGCAUACUAUCGUAUAACCCAUAUGGCAUUAGCUAGUAGGUGAGGUAAUGGCUCACCAAGGCAACGAUCCUUAGCUGGUUUGAGAGGACGACCAGCCACACUGGGACGGAGACACGGCCCAGACGCCUACGGAGGCAGCAGUGGGGAAUUUUGGACAAUGGGGGAAACCCUGAUCCAGCCAUCCCGCGUGUAUGAUGAAGGCCUUCGGGUUGUAAAGUACUUUUGGCAGAGAAGCGGUAUCUGCAGAAUAAGCACCGGCUAACUACGUGCCAGCAGCCGCGGUAAUUC
rnacentral:rRNA from 1 species